rnacentral:sRNA from 1 species
UGUAACAAGCUUAUAACGAGCUUAUAUAUAUAUAGAUAUAUAAGCUCGUUACA